ACAUUUACCUGGUAGGGGAGAUGUUAUGAUCAGUAAGGUGGUUUCCCCUGGGUGAAGUUCAUCCUUUGCCCUCUGGGUUUGCUGACAUCUGUCAUUUUACAAAGUGUGGAAAACUUGACUGUACAAUUUGACAAAGUGUUUUUUCUUAGGUCAUUGUU
ensembl:snRNA U1 U1 spliceosomal RNA